rnacentral:rRNA from 1 species
UGCGUAGGUGGUAUGGCAAGUCAGAAGUGAAAACCCAGGGCUUAACUCUGGGACUGCUUUUGAAACUGUCAGACUGGAGUGCAGGAGAGGUAAGCGGAAUUCCUAGUGUAGCGGUGAAAUGCGUAGAUAUUAGGAGGAAUACCGGAGGCGAAGGCGGCCUGCUGGACAAAUACUGACGCUGAGGCGCGAAAGCGUGGGAGCAAACA